rnacentral:rRNA from 1 species
UACGUAGGCAGCGAGCGUUGUUCGGAGUUACUGGGCGUAAAGCGUGCGUAGGCGGUUGUCUAAGUUUGGUGUGAAAUCUCCCGGCUUAACUGGGAGGGUGCGCCGAAAACUGGGUGACUGGAGUGUCAGAGAGGUAAGCGGAAUUCCUGGUGUAGCGGUGAAAUGCGUAGAGAUCAGGAGGAACACCUGUGGUGUAGACAGCUUACUGGACGAUAACUGACGCUGAGGCACGAAAGCGUGGGUAGCAAACAGG